AUCUAGCUGAUGAGUCCCAAAUAAGAUGAAAAUGCACAUCCUAGAU
rfam:Schistosoma curassoni strain Dakar, Senegal genome assembly, scaffold: SCTD_contig0010378